CCUUGAGCCGAAUCGCUGCUUUCAGCUUUAUUCUCUAAAGGAAGCAGUCAAGUGUGACGCGAGCCUUGAAAGGCUGAUGUUGGCAGCACACAGGCGAGUCUUCACCUGUCCCUCCAGCAUGUCCCUCUGGAGGCCGGAGCGAUCCUGCUCGGUGCUGUUGGUCCUGCGGAUCGACAGGCUGUGGGACUUCCUCUUCUGCUUGGCCUGACGAGCCGCUGCACUACUCCCGCUCUCCACCGGCAUCCCUCUGCCUGAAUCUGAAGUGACCACAGUCUGAAAGCAGUGAGAGGAGUGAAGGAAAUCCUGGUUAAAAUAAUCUCCUGGAAAGCGGUGCUGGCUGAGAGUCCAACAAUGACACACUCCUUGGAAAACACAAGACAAUUGUGUCGCAUUUGGCUGAGGUUUUAUUUGUUAGCUUCCACAUGCCCACACAGUCUGGGUUUUGGUACAUUAACGAGAAACAUGAGAGAUUACUGGGAAAUAAACUGAUUAUUAUUUCAA